AUUGAACGCUGGCGGCAUGCCUUACACAUGCAAGUCGAACGGCAGCACGGACUUCGGUCUGGUGGCGAGUGGCGAACGGGUGAGUAAUGUAUCGGAACGUACCUUUCAGUGGGGGAUAACGUAGCGAAAGUUACGCUAAUACCGCAUAUUCUGUGAGCAGGAAGCAGGGGAUCGAAAGACCUUGCGCUGAUUGAGCGGCCGAUAUCAGAUUAGCUAGUUGGUGGGGUAAAGGCCUACCAAGGCGACGAUCUGUAGCGGGUCUGAGAGGAUGAUCCGCCACACUGGAACUGAGACACGGUCCAGACUCCUACGGGAGGCAGCAGUGGGGAAUUUUGGACAAUGGGGGCAACCCUGAUCCAGCCAUGCCGCGUGAGUGAAGAAGGCCUUCGGGUUGUAAAGCUCUUUCGGCCGGGAAGAAAUCGCAUAGGCUAAUACCCUGUGUGGAUGACGGUACCGGAAUAAGAAGCACCGGCUAACUACGUG
rnacentral:rRNA from 1 species